rnacentral:rRNA from 1 species
UUGACCUCGGAUCAGGUAGGGAUACCCGCUGAACUUAAGCAUAUCAAUAAGCGGAGGAAAAGAAACCAACAGGGAUUGCCCUAGUAACGGCGAGUGAAGCGGCAACAGCUCAAAUUUGAAAUCUGGCGCCUUGGUGCCCGAGUUGUAAUUUGUAGAGGAUGUUUCGGGUGAGGCACCGUUCUAAGUUCCUUGGAACAGGGCGUCAUAGAGGGUGAGAAUCCCGUACGUGACCGGUGCUUAUCCCAUGUGAAACUCCUUCGACGAGUCGAGUUGUUUGGGAAUGCAGCUCAAAAUGGGUGGUAUAUUUCAUCUAAAGCUAAAUACUGGCCAGAGACCGAUAGCGCACAAGUAGAGUGAUCGAAAGAUGAAAAGCACUUUGGAAAGAGAGUUAAAAAGUACGUGAAAUUGUUGAAAGGGAAGCGCUUGCAACCAGACUCGCCCGGGGGUGAUCAACCGUCCUUUUGGUCGGUGCACUCUCCCCCGGCCGGGCCAGCAUCGGUUCGGGCGGUCGGAUAAAGAUUCCGGGAAUGUAGCUCCCCUCGGGGAGUGUUAUAGCCCGGGGUGCAAUGCGACCAGCCUGGACCGAGGACCGCGCUUUUGCUAGGAUGCUGGCAUAAUGGUUGUCAGCGACCCGUCUUGAAACACGGACCAAGGAGUGGUUGAAUGACGCGAGUGUUUGGGUAUUAAACCCACACGCGUAAUGAAAGUGAACGGAGGUGAGACCCCCGCAAGGGGCGCAUCAUCGACCGAUCCUGAUGUCUUCGGAUGGAUUUGAGUAUGAGCGGCAUUCAACCGACCCGAAAGGUCAGUUCAACCCCCCUAAUCAAACCCCCCUAGNACAAUCUUACUAACUUCAAACAGAUGGUGAACUAUACGUGAAUAGGGNGAANCCAGAGGAAACUNUGGUGGAGGCUCGCAGCGGUUCUGACGUGCANAUCGAUCGUCANNUUUGCGUAUAGGGGCNAAAGGUAUGUUCUNCCAAANCUCACUUACAUNAGAAUCUAUACUAACAUAUANCUCACAGACUAAUCGAACCAUUGGAAUAUUGAUAGUGGAAGUUACUAGGUGGUUGAUUGCAGCUGGGUCCGCCCAGCUGCCAGUUGCCCGGGUNGUUAAGCACCCGGGGAGCGACAUCGUCGUCUGCGUGGAUCCCCCUUCCCUAGCGGGNAGAGUGGGAGAUACGGCGCGGUUUUGCCNUUGGCGAAAUCGUUCACAGACCAAGCGGCGGUGGCCCGGCUGGGNNAAGUCCCCCGGGUUGAGAUAUGGCCGGCCCUCCCCCUCGCGG